GACGACCGCUGGCGGCGUGCCUAAUACAUGCAAGUUGAGCGCUGAAGGUUGGUACUUGUACCGACUGGAUGAGCAGCGAACGGGUGAGUAACGCGUGGGGAAUCUGCCUUUGAGCGGGGGACAACAUUUGGAAACGAAUGCUAAUACCGCAUAAAAACUUUAAACACAAGUUUUAAGUUUGAAAGAUGCAAUUGCAUCACUCAAAGAUGAUCCCGCGUUGUAUUAGCUAGUUGGUGAGGUAAAGGCUCACCAAGGCGAUGAUACAUAGCCGACCUGAGAGGGUGAUCGGCCACAUUGGGACUGAGACACGGCCCAAACUCCUACGGGAGGCAGCAGUAGGGAAUCUUCGGCAAUAGACGAAAGUCUGACCGAGCAACGCCGCGUGAGUGAAGAAGGUUUUCGGAUCGUAAAACUCUGUUGGUAGAGAAGAACGUUGGUGAGAGUGGAAAGCUCAUCAAGUGACGGUAACUACCCAGAAAGGGACGGCUAACUACGUG
rnacentral:rRNA from 1 species